AACGAACGCUGGCGGCAUGCCUAACACAUGCAAGUCGAACGAGAGCUCCGGGACUAGUGGCGCACGCGUGCGUAAAGCGUGGGAAGGUGCCCGUAGGUUCGGAAUAACUCCCUGAAGGGGGUGAUAAUACCGGAUAAUGUAUUCUAAUAAAAGAUUUAUCGCAUGUGGAUGGGGCCGAGAUGGAUGAACCAGGUGGUAGGGUAAAAGCCGACGAAGGCGACGAUCCAUAGCUGGUAUGAGAGGAAGAUCAGCCACACUGAGUGUAGGACACGGCUCAGAAUCCUACGCGAGGCAGCCGUGGCGAAUCUUGGAAAAUGGGCGGAAUGAUGAACCCGUACGGAUGCGAUAGUGAUGAAGGCCUUAAAGAUAUAAAGCUGUUUUACCCGCCAUGAUACUGACAGUACCCGGAGAAUAAGCUCCGGCUAACUCCGUG
rnacentral:rRNA from 1 species